AGUGAACGCUGGCGGUAGGCCUAACACAUGCAAGUCGAACGGCAGCACAGUAAGAGCUUGCUCUUACGGGUGGCGAGUGGCGGACGGGUGAGGGAUACAUCGGAAUCUACUUUUUCGUGGGGGAUAACGUAGGGAAACUUACGCUAAUACCGCAUACGACCUACGGGUGAAAGCAGGGGAUCUUCGGACCUUGCGCGAUUGAAUGAGCCGAUGUCGAAUUAGCUGGUUGGCGGGGUAAAGGCCCACCAAGGCGACGAUCCGUAGCUGGUCUGAGAGGAUGAUCAGCAACCCAGGAGCUGGGCAACGGUCCCGCAGCGGAGGGGAGGCACAGGGGGGAAUCAUGGGAAAAGGGGCGAAAGCUUGUACAGCACAACCGGGGUGGGUGAGAAAGGCCUUCGGGUGGUAAGGCCAUUUGUUGGGAAAGAAAAGCAGCAGGUUAAUACGCCGCUGUUCUGACGGUACCCAAAGAAUAAGCACCGGCUAACUUCGUG
rnacentral:rRNA from 1 species